CCUUUAAAGAGUGCGUAAUAGCUCACUAGUCGAGUGAAACUGCGCCGAAGAUGUACCGGGGCUAAACACAAUACCGAAGUUGCGAAUUUAUGCAUUAGCAUAAGUGGUAGGGGAGCGUUGUAAAUGCGAAGAAGGUGGACCGUGAGGACUGCUGGAGCGUUUAGAAGUGAGAAUGCCGGUGUGAGUAACGAAAAAUGGGUGAGAAUCCCAUUCACCGAAUGACAAAGGGUUCCUGGGUAAAGUUCGUCUGCCCAGGGUAAGUCAGGACCUAAGGCGAGGCUGAAAAGCGUAGUCGAUGGACAACAGGUUUAUAUUCCUGUACCACCUAUAAAACUGAUGGAGUGACGGAGAAGGAAAGCAUAAGCUGGUUAUUGGAUUCCAGUCUAAGCGUUUAGGAAGAUACGUAGGCAAAUCCGCGAUAUCGAUAAUUCUGAGGCGUGAUGGUGAAGAGCAAACUUCGGUUUAAUCGAAAUUAUGUGGUCCAUGCUUCCAAGAAAAGCUUCUAGGGCUAAUUUUAUAGGUGCCUGUACCGUAAACCGACACAGGUGGUCAAGGAGAGAAUCCUAAGGUGAGCGAGAGAACUAUGGUUAAGGAACUCGGCAAAAUGACCCCGUAACUUAGGGAGAAGGGGUGGUCACGAGAGUGACCCGCAGUGAAUAGGCCCAGGCAACUGUUUACCAAAAACACAGGUCUCUGCAAACACGCAAGUGGAAGUAUAGGGGCUGACGCCUGCCCAGUGCUGGAAGGUUAAGGGAAGAGGUAAGUAAGACGCAUGUCGGAUUUACGAAGCUUCGAACCGAAGCCCCAGUGAACGGCGGCCGUAACUAUAACGGUCCUAAGGUAGCGAAAUUCCUUGUCAGGUAAGUUCUGACCCGCACGAAAGGCGUAAUGAUCUGGGUACUGUCUCAACCAUAGACUCGGUGAAAUCUUAAUACCUGUGAAAAUGCAGGUUACCCGCGACAGGACGGAAAGACCCCGUGGAGCUUUACUGCAGUUUGAUAUUGGGAUUAGGUAAGUUAUGUAGAGGAUAGGUGGGAGACUAUGAGACUAACUCGCCAGAGUUAGAGGAGUCAUCCUUGGAAUACCACCCUUAAUUUACCCGAUUUCUAACCUAGGACCGUGAUCCGGUUCAGGGACAGUGUCUGAUGGGCAGUUUGACUGGGGCGGUCGCCUCCUAAAAAGUAACGGAGGCGUUCAAAGAUUCCCUCAGAAUGGUUGGAAAUCAUUCAAAGAGCGUAAAGGUAUAAAGGGAGUUUGACUGCGAGACCAACAAGUCGAGCAGGUGCGAAAGCAGGACUUAGUGAUCAGGCGAUUCAAAGUGGAAUGGUCGUCGCUUAACGGAUAAAAGUUACCCCGGGGAUAACAGGCUGAUACCACCCAAUAGUUCACAUAGACGGUGGUGUUUGGCACCUCGAUGUCGGCUCGUCACAUCCUGGAGGUGGAUUCGCUUCCAAGGGUUGGGCUGUUCGCCCAUUAAAGUGGCACGCGAGCUGGGUUCAGAACGUCGUGAGACAGUUCGGUCCCUAUCCGUCGUGGGCGUAGGAAAAUUGAGAAGAGCUAUCCUUAGUACGAGAGGACCGGGAUGGACGCACCUCUGGUGUAUCUGUUGUCAUGCCAGUGGCAGUGCAGAGUAGCUAUGUGCGGAAGGGAUAAACGCUGAAAGCAUCUAAGCGUGAAGCCCCCUUCAAGAUGAGUUUUCCCAUUACGCAAGUAAGUAAAAUCCCAGAUAGACUAACUGGUUGAUAGGCUAGAAGUGGAAGUGUAGCGAUACAUUGAGCGGACUAGUACUAAUAGAUUGAGGAUUUAAUCC
rnacentral:rRNA from 1 species